GAGGACGGGCAGAGGGACAGGCAGGUGCCGGACGCUCACCCUCUUCCUCCUCCUCCCCUCUCCCAGAUUUCAGCCUGCCCGAAGACUUCUGCUACGCCGACCCCGAGAAGUCCAACGGGUCCUGGGACACCAUCGCCGUCUUCAUCACCCUCUUCCUCCUCAGCGUCUGCUACAGCGCUACCAUCACCCUCUUCAAGGUCAAGUGGCUCCUCUCCACCGUCAUCCAGCUCAAGCAGGGCCCUGCCCGCGACUACAAGAACGUCAUCCAGCGUGUGGUCUAGGGGGGGCGUGUCCCCCCCGGGGAGGUGACACCGGGGGGGGGCGGGGCCACCUCUCCCAUUGGCCGCUUGCACUGAGUGACAAUAAACCCCGCGCCCGGCAAAGGGGGAGGGGAUAGGAAAGGGGGGGGGAGGGGCGGGGGGGGGGCGUGCACGGGGAGGAGAACGGGGUGCAGGCGUGCACGGAGACGUUGCACGGGCGCACGCGUGUGCACAGAGAGGCAAAAAAAUGGGGCGCGGGCGUGCACGGGGAGGACGUUGCACGGACGUUGCGCGUGUGCACGGAGAUGACGCGUGGGUGCACGCGUGCACAGGGAGGAAAACAGGCUGCAGGCGUGCACGGAGGGGACUUUGCACGGGCGCACACGCGUGCACGGAGAGGACGAUGCACGGGUACAUGCAUGCACGGAGAAGAAAACGGCGUGCGCACUUGCACGGACGUUGCACGCGUGCACGGAGAGGAUGUUGCACGGAUGCACACGCGUGCACAGAGAAGAAAACAGGGUGCACGCAUGCACGGGGAGGACGUUGCACGGUUUGCACGGAGAUGACGCGCGGGUGCACGCGCGCAUGGAGAGGACGUCGCGUGAACGCACACGUGCGCAGGAGAGACGGGGGGGCACGUAUGCACGGAGAAGACGUCGCACGGAGGCGCGCGUGCGCGGGGAGGACGUUGCACGGCUACACGCGCGCACGAAGGAAACGGGGCGCGCGUGCGCGGUGAGGAAAACCGGGCUGCAGACGUGCACGGAGAGGACGUUGCUCGCGUGCACGGCGAGGAAAACGGGGUGCACGGGGAGGCCGACGCCUGGGUGCUCGGAGACCGAGGGUGGUGGAGGUCUCCUCGCCUCCGCUGCGGGUGGCAGAUGUUUCCUGUCCGUACCCGCCCCCCCCCCCCAUCCCG